GGGUUGUGAGGUUAAGCGAAUAAGCGUACACGGUGGAUGCCUAGGCAAUCAGAGGCGAUGAAGGACGUGCUAAUCUGCGAAAAGCGUCGGUAAGGUGAUAUGAACCGUUAUACCCGACGAUAUCCGAAUGGGGAAACCCAGUAUCCAAUGGAUACUAUCAUUAACUGAAUCCAUAGGUUAAUGAGGCGAACCGGGAGAACUGAAACAUCUCAGUACCCCGAGGAAAAGAAAUCAACCGAGAUUCCCCUAGUAGCGGCGAGCGAACGGGGAGCAGCCCAGAGUCUUAAUCAAUAACAGUGUCAGGAGAACGGUCUGGAAAGUCCGGCAGUAAAGGGUGAUAGCCCCGUAUCUGAAGAUGCUGUUAUUGUGAACUCGACGAGUAGGGCGGGACACGUGUUAUCCUGUCUGAAUAUGGGGGGACCAUCCUCCAAGGCUAAAUACUCCUGAUUGACCGAUAGUGAACCAGUACCGUGAGGGAAAGGCGAAAAGAACCCCGGCGAGGGGAGUGAAAAAGAACCUGAAACCGUGUACGUACAAGCAGUAGGAGCCUCUUUAUGGGGUGACUGCGUACCUUUUGUAUAAUGGGUCAGCGACUUAUAUUCUGUAGCAAGGUUAACCGUAUAGGGGAGCCGUAGGGAAACCGAGUCUUAACUGGGCGAAUGAGUUGCAGGGUAUAGACCCGAAACCCGGUGAUCUAUCCAUGGGCAGGUUGAAGGUUGGGUAACACUAACUGGAGGACCGAACCGACUAAUGUUGAAAAAUUAGCGGAUGACUUGUGGAUGGGGGUGAAAGGCCAAUCAAACCGGGAGAUAGCUGGUUCUCCCCGAAAGCUAUUUAGGUAGCGCCUCGUGAAUUCAUCUUCGGGGGUAGAGCACUGUUUCGACUAGGGGGUCAUCCCGACUUACCAACUCGAUGCAAACUGCGAAUACCGAAGAAUGUUAUCACGGGAGACACACGGCGGGUGCUAACGUCCGUCGUGAAGAGGGAAACAACCCAGACCGCCAGCUAAGGUCCCAAAGUCAUGGUUAAGUGGGAAACGAAGUGGGAAGGCUCAGACAGCCAGGAUGUUGGCUUAGAAGCAGCCAUCAUUUAAAGAAAGCGUAAUAGCUCACUGGUCGAGUCGGCCCGCGCGGAAGAUGUAACGGGGCUAAACCAUGCACCGAAGCUGCGGCAGCGACACAAAGUGUUGUUGGGUAGGGGAGCGUUCUGUAAGCCUGCGAAGGUGUACUGUGAGGUAUGCUGGAGGUAUCAGAAGUGCGAAUGCUGACAUAAGUAACGAUAAUGCGGGUGAAAAACCCGCACGCCGGAAGACCAAGGGUUCCUGUCCAACGUUAAUCGGGGCAGGGUGAGUCGACCCCUAAGGCGAGGCUGAAAAGCGUAGUCGAUGGGAAACGGGUUAAUAUUCCCGUACUGGUGGUAACUGCGAUGGGGGAACGGAGAAGGCUAGGUUGUCCGGGCGACGGUCGUCCCGGUUCAAGCAGGUAGGCAGAGUGAUUAGGCAAAUCCGGUCACUUAAUGCUGAGAUGUGAUGACGAACCACUAAGGUGGUGAAGCAAUUGAUGCCCCGCUUCCAGGAAAAGCCUCUAAGCUUCAGGUUACCAACAAUCGUACCCCAAACCGACACAGGUGGUCAGGUAGAGAAUACUCAGGCGCUUGAGAGAACUCGGGUGAAGGAACUAGGCAAAAUGGUGCCGUAACUUCGGGAGAAGGCACGCUGGCGGUAGGUAAAGUCCCUUGCGGACGGCGCUGAAGCCAGUCGAAGAUACCAGCUGGCUGCAACUGUUUAUUAAAAACACAGCACUGUGCAAACACGAAAGUGGACGUAUACGGUGUGACGCCUGCCCGGUGCUGGAAGGUUAAUUGAUGGGGUUAGCGCAAGCGAAGCUCCUGAUCGAAGCCCCAGUAAACGGCGGCCGUAACUAUAACGGUCCUAAGGUAGCGAAAUUCCUUGUCGGGUAAGUUCCGACCUGCACGAAUGGCGUAAUGAUGGCCAGGCUGUCUCCACCCGAGACUCAGUGAAAUUGAACUCGCUGUGAAGAUGCAGUGUACCCGCGGCAAGACGGAAAGACCCCGUGAACCUUUACUAUAGCUUGACACUGAACAUUGAGCCUUGAUGUGUAGGAUAGGUGGGAGGCUUUGAAGUGUGGACGCCAGUCUGCAUGGAGCCAACCUUGAAAUACCACCCUUUAACGUUUGAUGUUCUAACCUAGGCCCAUAAACUGGGUCGGGGACCGUGUCUGGUGGGUAGUUUGACUGGGGCGGUCUCCUCCUAAAGAGUAACGGAGGAGCACGAAGGUUGGCUAAGCAUGGUCGGACAUCAUGCGGUUAGUGCAAAGGCAUAAGCCAGCUUGACUGCGAGAGUGACGGCUCGAGCAGGUACGAAAGUAGGUCUUAGUGAUCCGGUGGUUCUGAAUGGAAGGGCCAUCGCUCAACGGAUAAAAGGUACUCCGGGGAUAACAGGCUGAUACCGCCCAAGAGUUCAUAUCGACGGCGGUGUUUGGCACCUCGAUGUCGGCUCAUCACAUCCUGGGGCUGAAGUAGGUCCCAAGGGUAUGGCUGUUCGCCAUUUAAAGUGGUACGCGAGCUGGGUUUAGAACGUCGUGAGACAGUUCGGUCCCUAUCUGCCGUGGGCGUUGGAAGAUUGAGAGGGGUUGCUCCUAGUACGAGAGGACCGGAGUGAACGCACCACUGGUGUUCGGGUUGUCAUGCCAAUGGCAUUGCCCGGUAGCUAAGUGCGGAAGAGAUAACCGCUGAAAGCAUCUAAGCGGGAAACUUGCCUCGAGAUGAGUCUUCCCUGUCGCUUUAAGCGACCUAAAGGAACGUUUAAGACUAAGACGUUGAUAGGCUGGGUGUGUAAGCGUAGCGAUACGUUGAGCUAACCAGUACUAAUGAACCGUGAGGCUUAACCUGACAACACCGAAGGUGUUU
rnacentral:rRNA from 1 species